AACGAACGCUGGCGGCAGGCCUAACACAUGCAAGUCGAGCGAGGACUUCGGUCCUAGCGGCGGACGGGUGAGUAACGCGUGGGAGCGUACCCUUUGCUACGGAAUCGCCCCGGGAAACUGGGAGUAAUAAUGUAUACGACAUUCGGGGGAAAGAUUUAUUGGCAAAGGAUAAGGCCGCGUGGGUUUAGGUAGUUGGUGGGGUAAUGGCCUACAAAGCGGACGAUCCAUAGCUGGUUUGAGAGGAGGAUCCACCAGACUUGGACUGAGGCACGGCCCAGAAUCCUACGCGAGGCAGCAGUGGGGAAUCUGGGACAGUGGGGGAAAGCCUGAUCUAGCCAUGCUGCGUGAGCUAUGAAGUCCUUAGGGUUGUAAAGCUCUUUCGGUGGGGAAGAUAAUGACGGUACCCACAGAAGAAGCCCCGGCUAACUCCGUGCCAGCCGCCGCAGUAAUAC
rnacentral:rRNA from 1 species